rnacentral:lncRNA from 1 species
GUGGAAUUAAUAAAAGUUCUACCUAGAACUCUCAUCAUAUUAAUCUCCUCUUCCAGAAUCCCAAUGCCUGUUGAAAGCCCCAGUGGUGCAGGUAGGGGUGAUGAUGUUUUUGACCCAAUGAUUCGUCUGACAAACAAAGACCUUCGUGUCAUGCAGGCCCAGGCAUGGAUCAAAGCUGGCGAGACAUUCAAUGAAGCCGUCUUCACAGACGAAUCAACCAAGGCCCUUGAGCAAUUUGCUCAAAAUUGCUACAGAUAAAAAGGAAGAAGAUCAAGCAAGCCGGGGACCGUUUGAUUUUUGAUGGUAUCAUGGCUCGAGAUUUCUUUGAGGAAGAAAUCAUCAAGAUAUAUUUUUAUUUUACUAGUCAGUUAAGAACAAAUUCUUAUUUUCAAUGACAACCUUGUUCAGGUGCAGAACAACAGAUUUGUACCAAGGGAUUUGAACUUGCAACCUUUCGGCUACUAGCCCAACACUCUAACCACUAGGCUACCCUGCCGCCCCAAAUAUGCUGGACCCUAUGUCAGAUCGAUGUUUCUGGGACCACACUGUUUCUUUCAAGACAAUAACCCAAAACACACUGCAGCCUGGGUUUAUAUUGCAAAUGAGGGCAUAAACUGGGUCAAGAUGCCAGCAGAUAACUUAAUUGCCGCCUGUGGAAACAGAUGUCUCUACACCUUUCAUUAUGCAAGGCUAGGCUGCAAGAUCCAACGCUCAUACUCUGCAGGAGAUUGGAACAGAAUGUCCAUUUCAAUGCACAACAAGACAGGUAACUUAAUUGCCGCCUGUGGAAACGGAUGUCUCUACACCUUUCAUUAUGCAAGGCUAGGCUGCAAGAUCCAACGCUCAUACUCUGCAGUAGUUUACAAAAGAAUGUCAAUUUCAAUGCACAACAAGACAGGUUGAUUAUUUUGGAUUAGCAUCUGAACACUGGAGAAAAAAGUUGAUUUUCCUGGGGCACAAAAAAACACUUAAUUUUGAUUUCAACUUGUUCAACAACAAUUGGAACAGGAACUUGAUAGGAAAAUGCUUUAAUGUUGUUGACAAAAUGUGCUACUAAAUAUAUGUACUGUGGGAUAUGGUGGUGUGUUGCUGUGAUUAGCAUUUCAAUGAGCCUUGUUUGAAUACUCACAUUGAGAGCUUUGAACAGGAG